AUGAAGAACGCUUCCUACUCUAUCGUAUCCUGGAAUGUACGUGGUUUAGGUGAUAAUGACAAGUGUGCGAACGUGUUCUCUGAAAUCAAUAGCUUGCGCCCGUCCAUAGCCCUUCUUCAGGAAACCAAGUUACAAAAACCUGACACUAUCAAGCUUCGAUCGAUCCUGCCACGAUUCCUUGAUUCUAACAAUCACCUCGACGCAUCUGGUACUGCGGGCGGCAUUCUUUCGCCCACCAACUCCCGAUGCUUUUCGCUCAUCAACUGCCAACACAACCGCUUCACAUCAACCUUAACACUAUCAUGUCUUGCAUCGCCACACAACAUCUUCGUUACAAAUGUAUACGCUCCAUCGCAACGUGAUCUAAAGAUAGCUUUCCUCGACGAACUAAAAUUAAUUGAACCACCAAUGCAAUCACCUUGGCUCCUAAUUGGAGACUUCAACAUCACCAGAUUCCCCUACGAACGCAACAACAACAACUUUCGAAGAUCAGAGGCAGACGCUUUUAACAAUACAAUUGAUCAACUUGCUCUCAUUGAACUACCACUCCUAGAUAGAGAGUUCACCUGGUCAAAUAAAAGGCAGUCUCCUACUCUAAUCCGACUAGAUAGGGUUUUGAUCAACCUAGCUUGGGAUGCUAUCUUCCCUAACUCUCACUUAACCUCUCUCACUAGGUUUAUUCCUGAUCACGUACCACUACUUGUCACAGUAUCCACGGACGUCCCAUCUUCCCGCCUUUUUCGAUUUGAACGAUUCUGGGCCUCAUUCUCAAAAUGUGCAGAUGUGAUACGUGAAUGUUGGCAGCCCAACGCUGCACAUCAGGCCCCCCCCAUGGACCCUGCUACCACCCUAGUUGUUUGCAUCAAAUCUACACGAUCGGCCCUAAAGUCUUGGGCCAAAACGCUAAAGCCCAUCUACCAACGAGAAACUAACUGCAAACUGGCUAUCUAG
rnacentral:rRNA from 1 species